UGGAUGAUGUGGUUAAUUCGAUGCAACGCGAAAACCUUACCACCUUGACAUGUACGGAAUCCUUUAGAGAUAGAGGAGUGCUCGAAAGAGAGCCGUAACACAGGUGCUGCAUGGCUGUCGUCAGCUCGUGUCGUGAGAUGUUGGGUUAAGUCCCGCAACGAGCGCAACCCUUGUCAUUAGUUGCUACAUUCAGUUGGGCACUCUAAUGAGACUGCCGGUGACAAACCGGAGGAAGGUGGGGAUGACGUCAAGUCCUCAUGGCCCUUAUAGGUGGGGCUACACACGUCAUACAAUGGAUGGUACAAAGGGUCGCCAACCCGCGAGGGGGAGCCAAUCCCAUAAAGCCAUUCGUAGUCCGGAUCGCAGUCUGCAACUCGACUGCGUGAAGUCGGAAUCGCUAGUAAUCGUGGAUCAGAAUGUCACGGUGAAUACGUUCCCGGGUCUU
rnacentral:rRNA from 1 species